UACGUAGGGGGCAAGCGUUGUCCGGAUUUAUUGGGCGUAAAGCGCUCGCAGGCGGUUCGUCGCGUCGUGCGUGAAAGGCCCCGGCUCAACUGGGGAGCGUCGUGCGAUACGGGCGGACUAGAGGCCAGUAGGGGGAUGCGGAAUUCCGGGUGUAGUGGUGGAAUGCGUAGAGAUCCGGAGGAACACCAGCGGCGAAGGCGGCAUCCUGGACUGGUCCUGACACUCAGGAGCGAAAGCGUGGGGAGCGAUCCGG
rnacentral:rRNA from 1 species